rnacentral:lncRNA from 1 species
AUAACACAAAGGUGGUUUUUUUCUUUCUCUUUCUCUUUGCUCGACUCAUCCUUGAUCAAGUUUCUCUUCUUGAACCCAUGUCUUCUUCUUUUCAUAAACUUCUUGAGUUUUUUUGAUUACUAGGGCUAUGUCCUCAUCAUUAUCAUCUUCGGUGGAUUGACUUUCAUCUUAUUCAACAGUUGUAGACUUCAAGGCAAUUGUCUUCUUCUUUCUACUCUCCUUUUCAGCAUGCUGCUCCAUUACUAACUCGUGUAUCAAUAAUGAUCCAAUCAGCUCCUUAAAAGGUAAUUUGUUU